ACUUUUAUUUUCAAUCACAUUAUUGUUUUUAACUGUAAGCUGUACUGUAUAGUAACUACAAUGUUGUGAAAUAGAUUAGCCACAUGUGUCUCAAAAUGGGUUAGAACUAUUGACUAGCAGAACAGGCAUUUCUUCAAAGCAUGUUCAACUAUCAAGGGUAGUCCUAUAAAUGUGACGUCCUUUGAUUUUGAGAUAUUUUUGCUUUUGGGCAACCUUGACCGACAUAUAAGCAAUAACAAGCCCGUAAGUCUGAUAUGUUGAUCUACUAUCCAGGGUUGUCAAAUCUUCAAAGAAAUAAAGUAGAAAAAAUAAAAUGUUGUCUGGAAAAUCGCACAAAAAUUAAUAUUUUUGUCUCAUUUGAAUCAUUUCUGCAGUAAAAUUUCAGCAUUUCACGAUUUGAAAAAUAAUCAUGGACAAUAACAUUAAUUGUGCUGGAAACGUUAGAUAAUUCUUAUUGACAACCCUUCUUCCUUAUAAGCAGUGCAGCAAUUCAUGUAUUGUAAUUGGUUUGAAUAGUCAAGAUUUUAGGCCAUAUGGUACAAGUAUGCUAUAUUUUCAAUUACAGAAAUAAAUCAAUUUCAUCGUCAUCAUGUGUUGCAAUACCACUACCAGGGACAUCAAAGAUGACCUGGACUUCAGUGUAUAUGCAGAGGAGAGUAGCACUAAAGAAAGCCAAUAAAAUCCUUUUGGAGUUGAAUUGAGACACAACCAUUCAUUUCUGGUUUAGUUAUAAAACUGCUACAGACUAUAAACUAUUCAUGGUAGCACUAAAGAAAGCCAAUAAAAAUCCUUUUGGAGUUGAAUUGAGACACAACCAUUCAUUUCUGGUUU